UACGUAGGUGGCGAGCGUUGUCCGGAUUUACUGGGCGUAAAGCGCGCGCAGGCGGCACACUAAGUACGAUGUGAAAUCUCCCUGCUCAACGGGGAGGGUGCAUAGUAAACUGGUGAGCUAGAGGACGGUAGAGGGGGGUGGAAUUGCUGGUGUAGCGGUGAAAUGCGUAGAGAUCAGCAGGAACACCCGUGGCGAAGGCGGCCCCCUGGGCCGAACCUGACGCUGAGGCGCGAAGGCUAGGGGAGCGAACGGG
rnacentral:rRNA from 1 species